GACGAACGCUGGCGGUGUGCUUCACACAUGCAAGUCGAACGAGGUAGCAAUACCUAGUGGCGGACGGGUGAGUAACGCGUGAGAAUCUGCCUUUAGAUGGGGGAUAACGGGCCGAAAGGUCCGCUAAUACCGCAUAUGCCGCAAGGUGAAAGGAGUAAUCCGUCUAAAGAUGAGCCCGCGUCCGAUUAGCUAGUUGGUAGAGUAAGAGCCUACCAAGGCGACGAUCGGUAGCUGGUCUGAGAGGAUGAUCAGCCACAAUGGGACUGAGACACGGCCCAUACUCCUACGGGAGGCAGCAGUGGGGAAUUUUACGCAAUGGGGGAAACCCUGACGUAGCGACACCGCGUGAGCGAAGAAGCCCUUUGGGGUGUAAAGCUCUGUCAGCUGGAACGAAAACAAUGACGGUACCAGCAGAGGAAGCAUCGGCUAACUACGUGCCAGCAGCCGCGGUAAG
rnacentral:rRNA from 1 species